CAAGCGUUAUCCGGAAUUAUUGGGCGUAAAGCGUUUGUAGGCGGGCGAGUGUGUUUAAUGUUAAAUCUUAAAGCUCAACUUUGAAAUUGCGUUAAAAACUGCUUGUCUUGAGUAUGGUAGGGGUAAAGGGAAUUCCCAGUGUAGCGGUGAAAUGCGUAGAUAUUGGGAAGAACACUAAACAGCGAAGGCACUUUACUAGGCUAAUACUGACGCUGAGAAACGAAAGGUAAGGUAGCGAAACGGAUUAGAUACCCGUGUAGUCUUACCCGUAAACUAUGGACACUAAACGGUAAAUUUUUAAUUUACUGUUAAAGCUAACGCGUUAAGUGUCCCGCCUGGGGAGUAUGCUUGCAAAAGUGAAACUCAAAGGAAUUGACGGGGGCCCGCACAAGCGGUGGAGCAUGUGGUUUAAUUCGACGGUACACGAAGAACCUUACCAGGAUUUGACAUGCUAGAUAGUUGCUUGAAAGAGUAACGUGCCGUAAGGAAUCUAGACACAGGUGGUGCAUGGCUGUCGUCAGUUCGUGUUGUGAAAUGUUGGGUUAAGUCCCGCAACGAACGCAACCCUUGUCUUUAGUUAUUUUCUAAAGAGACUGCCUGUAAUAAACAGGAGGAAGGUAAGGAUGAGGUCAAGUCAUCAUGCCCCUUAUGUCCUGGGCUACACACGUGCUACAAUGGGAAAGACAAUGAGCUGCAAAUCUGUAAAUUUAAGCAAAUCUCUUAAACUUUCUCGUAGUUCGGAUUGUGGGCUGCAACUCGCCCACAUGAAGUUGGAAUCGCUAGUAAUCGCCAGUCAGCUAUAUGGCGGUGAAUCCGUUCCCGGGCCU
rnacentral:rRNA from 1 species